ACGGUGAGUAACACGUAUCCAACCUGCCGUCUACUCUUGGACAGCCUUCUGAAAGGAAGAUUAAUACAAGAUGGCAUCAUGAGUCCGCAUGUUCACAUGAUUAAAGGUAUUCCGGUAGACGAUGGGGAUGCGUUCCAUUAGAUAGUAGGCGGGGUAACGGCCCACCUAGUCUUCGAUGGAUAGGGGUCCUGAGAGGAAGGUCCCCCACAUUGGAACUGAGACACGGUCCAA
rnacentral:rRNA from 1 species